AGAGCAUAGGGCGGAUGCCUUGGCACUAGGAGGCGAUGAAGGACGUGGUAAGCUGCGAUAAGCUUCGGGGAACUGCAAGCAAGUUUUGAUCCGAAGAUUUCCGAAUGGGGAAACCCGGCUGUUGUAAUGAGCAGUCAUCAUUAGGUGAAUACAUAGCCUAAUGAAGCGAUACUCAGGGAACUGAAACAUCUAAGUACCUGAAGGAGAAGAAAAUAAAAAUGAUUCCCUAAGUAGCGGCGAGCGAACGGGGAAGAGCCCAAACCGAACUCUUCGGAGGUCGGGGUUGAGGACAGCGCAUUGAGUAGAAGGUAACUUAGUCGAAGUGGUCUGGAAAGACCUGCCGCAGACGGUGAUAGCCCGGUAGACGAAAAGUGAAGAUCGAAAGCGACUGAUCCAGAGUACCACGGAGCACGUGAAACUUUGUGGGAAGCAGGGAGGACCAUCUCCCAAGGCUAAAUACUCCCUAGUGACCGAUAGCGGACAGUACCGUGAGGGAAAGGUGAAAAGAACCCCGGGAGGGGAGUGAAAAAGAACCUGAAACCCUAUGUUUACAAGCACUAGAAGCACUUUAUAUGUGCGACUAGGUACUUUUUGUAGAACGGGCCAACGAGUUACGUUAUGCAGCAAGGUUAAGUACUUAAGGUACGGAGCCGUAGCGAAAGCGAGUCUGAAUAGGGCGCAUUAGUUGUAUGGCGUAGACCCGAAACCGGGUGACCUAUCCAUGAGCAGGUUGAAGCUGAAGUAAAAUUCAGUGGAGGACCGAACCCAUAUCUGUUGAAAAAGGUUGGGAUGACUUGUGGAUAGCGGAGAAAUUCCAAUCGAACUCGGAGAUAGCUGGUUCUCCCCGAAAUAGCUUUAGGGCUAGCCUUGAGGUUUAGAGAUAUGGGGGUAGAGCACUGACUGGUCUAGGGGCUUUCACCGGCUACCGAAACCUAUCAAACUGCGAAUACCAUAAUCUUAUACUCAGGAGUCAGACUAUGUAUGAUAAGAUUCAUAGUCGAGAGGGAAACAGCCCAGACCAUCAGCUAAGGUCCCAAAAUAUAGAUUAAGUGGGAAAGGAUGUGGGAUUGCACAGACAACUAGGAUGUUGGCUUAGAAGCAGCCAUUCAUUCAAAGAGUGCGUAAUAGCUCACUAGUCGAGUGAUCCUGCGCCGAAAAUUACCGGGGCUAAAAUCUAUUACCGAAGCUAUGGCUUGAUAUUUAUAUCAGGGGUAGGGGAGCAUUCUAUAAGGACAGAAGCUAUACCGUAAGGAGUGGUGGACUUUAUAGAAGAGAGAAUGUUGGCAUGAGUAGCGAGAGGCAUGUGAGAAUCAUGCCCGCCGAAAGCCCAAGGUUUCCUGAGGAAGGAUCGUCCUCUCAGGGUAAGUCAGGACCUAAGCCGAGGACGAAAGUCGUAGGCGAUGGACAACAGGUGAAUAUUCCUGUACCACCGAAAUUCGUUUGAGAGAUGUAAUGACACAGAAGGAGAGGCUAAGCGUACGAUUGGAAGUGUACGUACAAGCGUUGAGUGGGCUAGAAUAGGUAAAUCCGUUUUAGCAUUAACCAUGGGGCGUGAUGUGGAGCGAAAUUAAGUAGCGAAGUAGCUGGUUUCAUGCUGUCAAGAAAAGUUGCUAUCGAGAAUGUAGGUGCCUGUACCGCAAACCGACACAGGUAGGCGAGUAGAGAAUACUAAGGCGAGCGAGAAAACUAUUGUUAAGGAACUCGGCAAAAUGACCCCGUAACUUCGGGAGAAGGGGUGCCCCAUCAGGUUCAGAGCUAGAUGGGGCCGCAGAGAAUAGGCCCAAGCGACUGUUUACCAAAAACACAGGUCUCUGCUAAAUCGAAAGAUGAUGUAUAGGGGCUGACGCCUGCCCGGUGCUGGAAGGUUAAGAGGAAAAGUUAGAGUAAUCGAAGCUUUGAAUUGAAGCCCCAGUAAACGGCGGCCGUAACUAUAACGGUCCUAAGGUAGCGAAAUUCCUUGUCGGGUAAGUUCCGACCCGCACGAAAGGCGUAACGAUUUGGGCACUGUCUCAACAAUAGACUCGGUGAAAUUGUAGUACCGGUAAAGAUGCCGGUUACCCGCAGCAGGACGGAAAGACCCCGUGGAGCUUUACUGUAGCUUGGCACUGGACAUUGAUAUAUCAUGUACAGGAUAGGUGGGAGACUGCGAAAUAUGCACGCCAGUGUGUAUGGAGUCGUUGUUGGGAUACCACUCUUGAUAUAUUGCUGUUCUAACCUGGUACCGUGAUCCGGUACAGGGACAAUGUCAGGUGGGCAGUUUGACUGGGGCGGUCGCCUCCUAAAGAGUAACGGAGGCGCUCAAAGGUUCCCUCAGAAUGGUUGGAAAUCAUUCGCAGAGUGCAAAGGCAGAAGGGAGCUUGAUUGCGAGACAUACAGGUCGAGCAAGUACGAAAGUAGGACUUAGUGAUCCGGCGGUACCGAAUGGAAGGGCCGUCGCUCAACGGAUAAAAGCUACCCCGGGGAUAACAGGCUUAUCUCCCCCAAGAGUCCACAUCGACGGGGAGGUUUGGCACCUCGAUGUCGGCUCGUCUCAUCCUGGGGCUGAAUUAGGUCCCAAGGGUUGGGCUGUUCGCCCAUUAAAGAGGCACGCGAGCUGGGUUCAGAACGUCGUGAGACAGUUCGGUCCCUAUCCGCUGUGGGCGCAGGAAAUUUGAGGAGAGCUGUCCUUAGUACGAGAGGACCGGGAUGGACACACCUCUGGUGUAUCAGUUGUCAUGCCAAUGGCACGGCUGAGUAGCUAAGUGUGGAAAGGAUAAGCGCUGAAGGCAUCUAAGCGCGAAGCCUCCUCCAAGAUAAGAUUUCCCAUCCAUUUAUGGAGUAAGACCCCAUGUAGAUAAUAUGGUUGAUAGGCCAAAGGUGUAAGUGCAGCAAUGUACUCAGCUGAUUGGUACUAAUAGGUCGAGGACUUGACC
rnacentral:rRNA from 1 species